AGUCUAUGGUGCGGGCACUUCCUUAGCAUAGUCCUGAAACGCUCCCACGCCUCGUAUAAGGACUCAUCUUCCUAUUGUUUAAAGUUGGCGAUUUCUUCUCAACUGAAU
rfam:Gossypium hirsutum cultivar TM-1 chromosome 22, whole genome shotgun sequence